rnacentral:lncRNA from 1 species
GGAAAGCUCCAGCACAAAGGAGCGGCGCGGAGGGCAGAAGCGAGCGGAGCCGGCGCCCCCCAGCCCCAACCCGGCCCCCGGGAGCAGAAUCCUCACCAAGAAUAGGGCUCCUGCCAGUCCCCUCGCGGCCUCCACAGCGCAGAGCCACACAGGAUGGGGGGACAUUGCACGGCACUUGCAUAGCUGGUGACCACAGGUAGGAUCCCCAGGGAGGGGACACAGGCAGUACCAGCCCCAUGCUCUCCCACCCCUAGCAAGCUGGGAGGGCUCUGGGCAGCCAGGAGCCUUCCUGCCCAGGUUCCAGUGGUGUCCAGGGGGUCACA